UACGUAGGUGGCGAGCGUUGUCCGGAUUUACUGGGCGUAAAGGGAGCGUAGGCGGACUUUUAAGUGAGAUGUGAAAUACUCGGGCUCAACUUGAGUGCUGCAUUUCAAACUGGAAGUCUAGAGUGCAGGAGAGGAGAAUGGAAUUCCUAGUGUAGCGGUGAAAUGCGUAGAUAUUAGGAAGAACACCAGUGGCGAAGGCGGCUUUCUGGACUGAAACUGACGCUGAGGCACGAAAGCGUGGGGAGCGAACAGG
rnacentral:rRNA from 1 species